rnacentral:lncRNA from 1 species
CAAUAAAUGGUCACUAGGCAGUCCUAACAACCCGGCAACAUACAGAUCCAACCUCUGACUUCUAUUUUAAAGCUUCCCAGAAUACAGUUUUAUUGCUCACAGGAUGCUUUUUCAUAUCUUAGGGGGCUAGAGCUCAUUAAAUAUCAAAUUUGUUUCAGAUUUUUCUCAAUAAAUUGUUUAUGAGAAAAAAAUAUACCGGUACACAAACAAGGUAAUUGUUAAUAAAAGAAUAGACCUCUGGAAUUAAUGUGGAUAGCAAAGUAUUUGGUUUUGGGGGGAAAAUAAAUGUUUUGUGCUCAUCAGGAAGCUAUUAGUAUUGUAACUAAUUAUAUUUCAUUAAAAAUAAAACUUGUUUUAAAGACUAUGCUGCCUGUUUGACAGAACACAUCCAGUUCGGCUGGCACACAACAUCAGAGCAGAAAUGAGGUGAACUGUCAAAGCAGUACUACUGAUCCAAUUUGUGGAACCGUAGAAAAUGUAGGUAAUGCAGGAACAAGUAGCAAGGAUCAUCAGCGGCGCCAGUUUGAAUCCUUUGAACAAAGGCGAAGACAGAAAAUUGCUGAAAGGAGGGCACAUCUAUGUCAAAUUGUUGAGGCUUUGCAAUACAGUUUCAGUACCCUGAUGGCACCAGGAAAACAAGGAAAUUUGUUGAGUCUCAACCAAUUCAGGAUCUGUUUG